CCGAGCGCUGCCUUUGUUUCCGCCGGAUGACCGCUCGUUCAGCGGAACGUUUCAUUAUUCUUUCGAAAGGGACUGCUCGUUUCGGUUUAAGGCGAAUCUUCUCCUCGUGACGAAUCCCCUCUCGGUAAAAGGACGCUGGUUUAAAGUCGGUAAUGCAUUUCUUCCUAAGUGAGAAUCUGUUAAUGUUGGAGGAAUCAAUGAAAAUCUGACGGCUAGGCAAAAUUUCCUAGCCCAACGCACUACUUUUUCAAGAGAGAGCUGCACGCUCAUUGGAUAUCGCACUGGUAUGCCAUCAGUCGGCGUUCCGCUGCCAGCACUGAAAAUCUAUAGUAUAUAUACGCAACAUCGAUUUUGACAGUGAAUUUCAGAACUAUAUGUACGACAAAACUAUCGAUAGUGCAGAGAAACAUCGAUAAUUUUCGACAGUUCUAUCGAUAUCGAAUCGACCGAGAUUAUCGAUAGUUCUAUUUGCCAGGUUAUGGUGUUGAGGUAGUGCUCCGAGAGAGGCUUUCUCUUCCUCGUCUUGUGCUGACGAGACGUGUUUAUUCGGCGGUCCGUGAGUGUAGAACUGUGUAUAAAUAUUUUUGACAUUCCGUCUUGUGGAACGUAAUUUUCUAUACUUUCUUCUUAACUUCUUCGGUACGGCCGAUUGACAUAUUAUAUUUAGGCGCAAAGCUUGUGCAUUUUCCGAGAUUUAAAAACCUAACAUUUUCUUUCUUUAUCCUAACUCUAAAAUAUACAUCAUGGGUCUCGCAGACCAACUAUAAUUUUCGUUUGCUCCAUACAUUCUAUUUUUGAUAUUUAGUUUUAAUUUCAUAACUUGACAAAAUGAAACUUUUCGGUAUUGGAAUCUAUUCGGGUAUAUUUCUAAAGCUCAAAGCUUCGAAAUAAAAAAGAACAUGAAAAUUAUUAACAUUGAAAAAUAUUAAUCUGAGCUGGAGUUACGGUCUAUCAAAGUUACAUGGGUCUCCUCUGCGGUAUGUGUUUCCGGGAUUUUCUGAAAGCUGUAUAUUCGUAUGUGUGAAACUAUGUGCGUUUCAUUUCGUGGAAACUUGACGAAUUCAUUGAAUAAUUGUACUCAUUAGCGUACUAGGGUUGAUUGAUCGAUCGUGAAGAAAAUUGGAUUUUUCCGUUUCGUGGAUUUUCGCUUUCCUUGUGCACAGGGAGUAUUCGGCUUUUCGCGAUCGGAACUCAAUUAGUCACUCUGCUAUUGCAUCUUUUCUAUUCUGCUUUUUCCUUGUCUAUUGGCGUUUCCGAUUUGCUGACUCGAUCGGGGUCAUCGUUCUGAUUGGUGCAUUUUUAGAAAUGCAAAAUCAAUUGUAAAUCCCGAUCUGCAAAAGGUGUUUUAAACCGUAAAAUAUUGUAGACCGGCACUUAAGUUUCGGUCUCUGAGCCUUAAGAAAUUGACCGGAGUCGAAUGUGAAGAGAAUAAUUCACUGUGAUUGGAAUUUAAUUUCAUAAGACUUAGGGCAUCUAUUGCAGAUUAGAACUUAUGCAGAAGUUUGUGCUCCCCGCUUUAAGGAGCAAAUUCAUGGUAGCGUCGGAGCCAAUCAGCAGACAAUGGAUUGCUCUGUAACGCUACCAUGAAAAGGCUUCUUUAUAUGUAAGUUCUUCAUCCAUGGCUAUUUUUCCAAACACGAAGUUUUGCUGGAACACUCUUCAAUAAUUCAUAAUUAAAAUAACCAUCCAUGUAAAUGGUUGAUGAAGGAAAAUUGAGGUCCAUCAGUAGAAAGAGAUACAUAAGUACAUGUGUGUGCGGUACAUUUUUUUAGACAUCCGCUAUAAAUCUGAAAGAAAACGAUAAAUUUAAAUUCCAGAGUAUGGACUGUAAACAUAAUUACGAAGACAAGAAGUAUAUAGCAUCGUUAUUCUGUUACAACCGAUAAGAAAAAAAAAAAAGUACACAGUGUAACUUGCAUAAUGUAUAUUCCGUUCUCCAUUGACACAUGAGCGUGUAUAUACAAAGUCCGAGAGAGAAUUUCGUCUUCCCAUGUAAAAAAAUGAACGAUCCGGUCUGUCUUAGCGCACGUUUCAUAUCGAUUCGAUUGUUGACGCACACGAAUCGCAGAUACCCCCCCGCGUACGCGCGGAGUUAACGGCUGCGUUCAGCGGUUUGUGCUCUCUUUUUUUCCAACGCUUGCAAAGCAAGAUAUAUUUUCCGGCACGCUGAAAGUAACUUGUUAAAAAAAAAAGCUGGAUUACGCAGCAGCGCAUUACAGAGCGCACCCAUCUGUCGAGAUCGUUCGUAAGAAUCUAUCAGAAAAGCAGCACAAAGAGCUGAUGCAGCGCCGACGCUGAACGCAGCCCGAUAUUUAACGUGUCUAGCUUUAUACCGGUGCAUGUCCUGCGAGGAUGCGACCCUGCUAGAAAAAAAUCCGUUGCGACGCAUUACAAAUCUCUACAACACGAAUCGAUUUAGAACAUUACAUGUAUAAUUACGCAAUUAUACGAUUACAGAUGUUCGGUAAUUAAUUAACACUCGGUACAUAGCAAUUUUUACUUUUGGAGCGAUUCUGUUUGUGACGAUAUUUGUCACCUCGCGGAUAUCUUAUUUUUCCUUGGAAAUUUCUCGGAAAACGAACGAGAUGUUUUUCCAAUAAAUAGAUCUUAUAAAAUUCCAUUAACACUAUUACGACGGUGAACAGAAGAUUAAAUGACGUAAUACUUUGCAGGCAUAUCUCCUUCAUUAUUUAAGUAUGAAAAAAACGACGAUACGAACUUGUCGUGAUAAAAAAGGAAAGAGGAAAAUCCAAUCGACCAACGUAAUUCCACUCGAAAUUGCUUAUCGCUCCGUUUUUUUUCUUAAAAUAAAUACGAUUAUUCCAUUCUCCACAUCAAUGCCUUUCCUUCAAUCAAUAUAUUUAUCUUAACAAAGAGUUUAACUAAAUUCGGUGUACACGUUGUAUGUAAACAUAUACAUAUACGAUAAAAAAUAGACACCAGUCACGCUGCAAAUGUCAAGAAUUUAAAAAUCCCUUGAAGCAAGAAUUUUAAGCAUAAUUUACCGAUUUACAAAUCGACAGGACAGCUUUUUUUUUGAAAGCUACUACAGUUUCGCAGUUUCUUCGUAUUGUAAUCGAUCUUUUUACGUUAAUUUGUGACAAAAGGUCUGUUUUUUGUAGCUGAAAUCCCUGCACCAGCUUGCACUAGUUCUAUUUCCCUCUUCCUUACAAGAAAUCACAGAUAUGUAUCCGUUUCUUUCCACGUUCCGAAAAUGUGCACCGGUUCAGUGACAAAGAACAGACCCAAAGUAUGCACAUUAGAAUUACAUUAUCAUGUAGGAAUAUAUUAGUUUGUUUUCAAUCGAGGUAUUCUUCUUAGAAAAGUGCUAGCUUUUCCUUCUGAAUUUUAAUAAAUAAACUUUUAUAUAUAUAUAUAUAUCAUGUAUUCACAAUAAUGACACUUGGUGUUGUUUUCCUUGUAUGAACAUUACUAUAAUUGGUGGAAUUUAAACUUGCGAGUUUACCUAUACGAACUCUCGUGUAUUAUUCCGAUUCUUAAGGGUGUUUCUCAAGUCCCUCUGCACAUACAUGUUGAGUAUGCGCGGUUCAAUGAAUUUUUAAUUCCUUGAGCUAAUUCCACGAAUCCCUAAGUUUGUGGAGCUUCUCGAAACAGUGACUAUUUAAAUUCAUCGAUAUCAAAAUUUAAUGAAUCAUCUUACUUAUCAUCUAUUAUUCAUGGGUUGCAAAAUCAGUGCAUUUGUCGGUUCUUAUAUAUAUAUAAUAUAUAUAGUCCUAAGGUUCUAAAAUUAUCCAAGUCCUAGUCGAUUCUAUUUACCAUAGAUAUAUUUCUCGGCUCGUAAUACCUAGGUUCUUGGAUUUGCAAAUGUAUUCUUGAAUCAUUGAAUUCGUUAGACUCGCAUAUCAUGCAUAUGAUCGAAUCAUUUAGAUCCUUUUCAAAUUCAUCGGUUAGAUCUUUAGAAAACGUGGUUGAAAACUUUACGAUUUCGGUCUCUCCAAGUCUGAUUGAUUUUUUUCCCCGCACCAGGAAGUCUCUAAAAGGCUUCGGCAAUCCAAGGACCUAUGUUCACAAGAGGCUGAUUUCUCUUCCUUCAUGUCUCUUGCAUACAAAGAGUUAUAUUUGUGAAAUUUAUAUUAUUUACAAUAUAUUUACGCAUUUUGAUCUAUGACCGUUAUAGAUCUCAUUUGUUCUUAAAUAUAUACGAGUACCUA